GCUGGGGAAACUAGUCUGGGACGCAGCCCUCCUUGUCCCCCUUCUUCAUUCACCCCCUUGUUGAGGCCCUUGGCUUUUGCAUAAUACACCCUUUAAAAAAAUGUAUUUAAAGAGGCUGGUUCCUAUCCAUCCGACUGGAGGCAUCUCAGUGCAAGAGCAAAGCUAAGUCCUGCACACGCUCCUCCCCUCCUCCUCCUCCUUCU
rnacentral:lncRNA from 10 species